ACUCAGGAAAGACCAAAUAAAAGCGAAUUUGUCAUUUAAAGGAACAAUUGGGCAUGAUAGCUCAGAAGAUUUCAAGGAUCUGGGGAGAAAGUCUGUCAAGAAUGGAGUGAACCCGGCUCGGGGCGGCUCGGCUGGCCGACGGCGCCCCACACCCCCAACCCCCCUACUAGUCUACACCGACCCCCGAGGCUCAGCUCGCGGGUGCGGACAGAGAAAUCGUGGGCGGAGUCGAGAGGGGGCGAGUGAGCAGAACUCUGACGAGGCCGCCUCCGCCCGCCCACGCACCCACCCACCCGGCGGCCCCCUGAGAGUCGAGCGUCCCCGGCCCCCGCCCGGCCCAGCUUCGGGCUCCCGAGCGCAGGUCGAGGCGAAGCGGGCGGCUCGUUCCACUCGGGCUUCCCGAGUACUCGGCUGGGCUCCUCAGUAGUAAACAAAGUGUCGUCGCCGCCUCCACGUUGGUUUGCCUCCUAGCAAUCAAAACACUGAGAGGGCGAAAGGCUCACAGAAACACUCGAGA
ensembl:lncRNA